AAGGUGGAAAGUCUGUUUUGUUAGGAGUGUUGUCUUAUCAUGCACUGUAUAUCUACAUGCAGAAACAGCAACAUAAUUUGCAAUCGCACUAGUGGAUUGCCCCGUUUCUUGAGGCUAUGUAUUUCGAUAUUUGAGCUCUCCCCGAACAAAUCUUCUCUGCUCGGGGCUGGAGGUAUAUAUUAGAUAAUUAAUGGGACUUCAUAUGGCGACCAGUUGCAGUGCCUUCUACUGAAGGGUCGAGCAAGCUAACAAAGUCAACAGACAUACAAACAAGAGUGCUAUAUAAAUCUAUUUAUCUUCACUAUCGGACAACGUUUGCCCUCCUGUUUAGGAUCUCUUCCGCCUCCCCGUGGCGCUCUCCUUGGCCACGGUACUCGCGUCGUCCACGCAGAAACCAGUCGGCAAUGAUGAUGACGACGACGACAAAAUAGACUGCGGAAACGUAGUUCAUGUCUAGAGUCGAUAAUACAUUAGCUAGCGAGUCCUAUGGUGCUCUUGGAGAAUAGAAAGAUGGCUUCGCGCCGGUAAGGGGCCAGCGUGCGGAUAAAGUACUUACUGGACGUCUUGACGGAAUAAACUGAGGGGAACGAAUACAUAAUAACGGUGAACACCGUCCAACAAAGAACCAUAAUGUUCGCAAAGAGGCCGAAUUUCCCCAGCCAGAACGGACCGCGCUUGAUGUUAUUCCGCCCGCGGAUGAGCAACGCAGUAAUCGGGAUCGCGUACGAGAUGUACAGUAGGACAAUGCACGCAGUAACCAUGCUGUUAAAGGCGGUGGAGGAGCCGAGAUAGAGCAGCCCCAAUGCGCCGACGAUGAAACAGCUGAACGCAUGCGCCGCGAUGGGCACGUCGAGCUUGGGGUGGAUUUUGGACAGGUAUUUGUGGAACGGGAGGCCGCGAUCGCGCGCAAAGGACCAGCACAGCCGCGACUGCCACGUGUGGGAGGCGAUCUGGCAUCCAAAGCCAGUGCAGAGAACUAGGGAUUCCAAGGCGAUGGCACCGGCCUUGCUGCCCAGGGCUUGGUUGAAGAGCUCGAGAAUGGGCACGCCGGUCGGCGUGCUGAUGAGAGUUUCGAAAUUGCUCAAGCUGAAGAACAUGGCCAUGCAGUAGAACCAGGCGGUGGUAAAGCCGAUAGCGACGGUGCCGCAGAUGGCGAUAGGGAUGGAUCGCUCGGGACUAGCAACCUCCUCUGCCAUGUGGGUGGCGGAGUCGAGACAAGCGAAGACCCAGUUGGGGUUGAUCAAGCCGACGAUGAAGGCGAUGCCGUCGGAUUUCCAGCCCGUGUUGUUGAUGAAGGUCGCAAAGACGAAUUUGGCAUCCUGGUGCGUGGGCGCUUUGGACGGGACGGUGAUGAGGAUUACCGUGAAGGAUAUGAGGGAG
rnacentral:sRNA from 1 species